rfam:Oryza sativa Indica Group cultivar 93-11 Ctg049741, whole genome shotgun sequence.
GCAUUCAUUUAUUGGUAUCGCAUGAACCCCAUCGUAAUUAAUCGGCUUCAACGGAAGCUGGGCUACACUUUUCAUC